AGCGAACGCUGGCGGCAGGCCUAACACAUGCAAGUCGAACGGACCCUUCGGGGUUAGUGGCGGACGGGUGAGUAACACGUGGGAACGUGCCUUUAGGUUCGGAAUAGCUCCUGGAAACGGGUGGUAAUGCCGAAUGUGCCCUUCGGGGGAAAGAUUUAUCGCCUUUAGAGCGGCCCGCGUCUGAUUAGCUAGUUGGUGAGGUAAUGGCUCACCAAGGCGACGAUCAGUAGCUGGUCUGAGAGGAUGACCAGCCACACUGGGACUGAGGCACGGCCCAGACUCCUACGGGAGGCAGCAGUGGGGAAUCUUGCGCAAUGGGCGAAAGCCUGACGCAGCCAUGCCGCGUGAAUGAUGAAGGUCUUAGGAUUGUAAAAUUCUUUCACCGGGGACGAUAAUGACGGUACCCGGAGAAGAAGCCCCGGCUAACUUCGUGCCAGCAGCCGCGGUAACAC
rnacentral:rRNA from 1 species